rnacentral:rRNA from 1 species
AGGACGAACGCUGGCGGCGUGCUUAACACAUGCAAGUCGAACGAGGUCCAACCAGUGGCAACACUGGGGAAGACCUAGUGGCGAACGGGUGAGUAACACGUGAGCAACCUGCCCCGAAGACUGGGAUAACAGUGGGAAACCGCUGCUAAUACCGGAUACCCCCACCAGAUCACAUGGUCAGGUGGGGAAAUGGACUCCGCUUCGGGAGGGGCUCGCGGCCUAUCAGCUUGUUGGUGGGGUAACGGCCUACCAAGGCAACGACGGGUAGCUGGUCUGAGAGGACGAUCAGCCACACUGGGACUGAGACACGGCCCAGACUCCUACGGGAGGCAGCAGUGGGGGAAUCUUGCGCAAUGGGCGAAAGCCUGACGCAGCAACGCCGCGUGAGGGAUGAAUGUCUUCGGAUUGUAAACCUCUUUCAAGCAGGGACGAUAAUGACGGUACCUGCAGAAGAAGCUCCGGCCAACUACGUGCCAGCAGCCGCGGU